UGCGCGCCGCGGGCGGGGCACUGGCGGGGCGCGGGGCGCGCAGCCGGACCCGUUAGGCUGCGUUAGGCUGUGCCCUCCCGCCCCGGCUUCGCUGCAGCCGGACCGCCGACUGUGCGCGGGCGAGCUCCGGGCGUUCGCUCCCGGCCCGCGGAGGAGGCCGCGGGUUGCGAGCGGGGAGCCUGGGGACCCCGGCCAGGCGUCCCCUGCAGCUGCCCGAGGAGGGAGAGGACAGGGUGGACAGAGUGAGGAGGUUGGGCAGAGGAGCCCCCAGGUGUCGAUCGGCUGAAGGAGGGAGGCUCCCGCGCUCACUCACGCCGCGAGUCAGGAGACCCAGCCAGUGCACUGACCGUCCAUGGAAAUCUUCACCGUCUUCCUCCAGAUACACCUAAAUGUAGCCCUUGUUAUGCUGAGAAUACCUGGCCUACCUCAGGAAGCUGCCAUUCCAACCCACCUUGUUCAAGCUGCUUACCUUGUCGAGGGUUGAAGAACCCAAACCAUCAACAUUUGCCAAAGGUCUGGAAGAGAGGCAUAGCUGGAGAAGGAAGAUCAAGGGAGUGUGACUUCAAGAAGAGCAUGGGGUUGUGUCAGUCAAGAAGAAUGCCAUGCCCUCCUCAACAGCCAUACCCUUUUGCAUUUGGCCUGGUGGGAUGCUACUCAUCCAGACAGCAAACCCAUCACAAAGGGAAGAAAGGCUCCAGCAGCCAAGUUCAUUAAGAAGAAAGAAGGACAUGUCAAGAGGAUUUAAAAGGUUCACAAUACUGACUUGGAUUUAUUUAUUUAUUUAUUUAUUUAUUUAUUUAUUUAUUUAUUUAUUUUUGAGAUAGGGUCUCACUCUGUGCCCCAGGCUGGAGUGCAGUGGCAUAAUCAUGGCUCGUGGCAACCUCAAUCUCCUGGGCUCAAGUGAUCCUCUUGCCUCUGGCCUCCCUAAUAGCUGGAACUACAGGUGCACACCACAUGGCCAGAUAAUUUUUGUAUUUUUUGUAGAGACAAGGUCUCGCUGUGUUGCCCAGGCUGGUCUGGAACUCUUGGUCUCAAGUGAUCCCUGCCCUUGGCCUCCCAAAGUGAUGGGAUUACAGGCAUGAACCACUGUGCACAGCCCCCGGUACUGACUUGUUUAUGCUUCUUAUUGUUGUGGUUUUGUUUUCGCUUACAUUUACUGUAAUCAACCUUAUUUAGUAUCAUAAAACUGUAUGGUAUAAAUAUUGUCUAAGGUAUACAAGACCAAAAGUAGAGGUUGAAUAGGGUAGAUGCUCUGAUUUUUUUAUAUUACCCUUUUUAAUAAAAAAAAAAAAACUAUCAAUUGAAUAAUUCCAAUUCCAAUUCUUUCUUGAGAAAAGGAAACUGGUAGCUUUUUUGACUUAGUGCUAUUUGGAAGCUUUUUGCCUUUCUUUGCUUCUUGAAGAGAUCAGAGCAAGAUGUGAGACAAUUCCAUUCAGUCUUCUACAAUGUCACCCUGAGCUUUGUCUUGCAAAAUUAUUAUGUUGAAAGACCAUUCUGAAAGUGCAUAAACUGUCAAAUCUCACCAAAAGAAAAUAAGUAAGCCACAAAUGCAAUAAAUGGGCUCCAAAAAUUCAACUGUGACAUGUGAGUUACUUUUGGGGGGAUAAGUUAUUGACAUGAUGCAGCACAGCUUGCUGUCUGGGAGUUUCAGGGGUCUGGCUAACCUAUCCAGACCCUUCCUGGACUGGCUGUGGUUUGGCACCAGCCAGUUGGGGUUUUCUACUCCAAUUUAAAUAUUGGUGAUGAUUCUUC
rnacentral:lncRNA from 1 species